rnacentral:rRNA from 1 species
ACUCCUACGGGUGGCAGCAGUGGGGAAUUUUGGACAAUGGGGGCAACCCUGAUCCAGCCAUGCCGCGUGAGUGAAGAAGGCCUUCGGGUUGUAAAGCUCUUUCGGCCGGGAAGAAAUCGCAUAGGUUAAUACCCUGUGUGGAUGACGGUACCGGAAUAAGAAGCACCGGCUAACUACGUGCCAGCAGCCGCGGUAAUACGUAGGGUGCGAGCGUUAAUCGGAAUUACUGGGCGUAAAGCGUGCGCAGGCGGUUUCGUAAGACAGAGGUGAAAUCCCCGGGCUCAACCUGGGAACUGCCUUUGUGACUGCGAGGCUAGAGUACGGCAGAGGGGGGUGGAAUUCCACGUGUAGCAGUGAAAUGCGUAGAGAUGUGGAGGAACACCGAUGGCGAAGGCAGCCCCCUGGGCCGAUACUGACGCUCAUGCACGAAAGCGUGGGUAGCAAACAGGAUUAGAUACCCUGGUAGUCCG